GGCUCGAUGUAAAUAUUAUUAUUUUACAAUUUUUUUUUUUUUUCGGCGUCUUUCAUCGUACAGCCAUAAUAUUUACUAUUGUGUCCCUACAAACUUAUAUAUUACGUGUAUUUCGAAUACCUGCCUAUGGCUCUUUUCCGGACAAUCCAUCGAUACGAUAUUUUUCAAUAAUUAUUUAAACUAACCUAACCGUUACAGUUUACUUAUACCUACGUAUAUAGGUACCAAGUACUAGUAAAAACAAAAAUGUAUAAUAAUAUUUAUGACGGUAUAAGAUUCGAUUAAUUUGAUAUUUAACAACAAAUAAUAAUAAUAUUAUUAUUAACUAACGA